rnacentral:rRNA from 1 species
UACAGAGGGGGCAAGCGUUGUUCGGAAUUAUUGGGCGUAAAGCGCACGUAGGCGGCUUUGCAAGUCGGAUGUGAAAGCCCUCGGCUCAACCAAGGAAGUGCAUCCGAAACUGCAGAGCUUGAGUACUUAAGAGGAUCGCGGAAUUCCCGGUGUAGAGGUGAAAUUCGUAGAUAUCGGGAGGAACACCAGUGGCGAAGGCGGCGAUCUGGGAAGAUACUGACGCUGAGGUGCGAAAGCGUGGGGAGCGAACAGG